GGGGGCGAGCGUUAUUCGGAAUUAUUGGGCGUAAAGGGCGCGUAGGCGGCUUGAUGUGUCAAAGGUGAAAUCCCUCGGCUCAACUGAGGAACUGCCUUUGAAACUGUCUGGCUUGAGGCCGGGAGAGGGUAGCGGAAUUCCCAGUGUAGCGGUGAAAUGCGUAGAUACUGGGAGGAACACCGGUGGCGAAGGCGGCUACCUGGACCGGUUCUGACGCUGAUGCGCGAAAGCGUGGGUAGCAAACAGG
rnacentral:rRNA from 1 species